rnacentral:rRNA from 1 species
GGGGACAACAGUUAGAAAUGACUGCUAAUACCGCAUAAGCGCACAGGACCGCAUGGUCCGGUGUGAAAAACUCCGGUGGUACAGGAUGGACCCGCGUCUGAUUAGGUAGUUGGCGGGGUAACGGCCCACCAAGCCGACGAUCAGUAGCCGACCUGAGAGGGUGACCGGCCACAUUGGGACUGAGACACGGCCCAAACUCCUACGGGAGGCAGCAGUGGGGAAUAUUGCACAAUGGGGGAAACCCUGAUGCAGCGACGCCGCGUGAGUGAAGAAGUAUUUCGGUAUGUAAAGCUCUAUCAGCAGGGAAGAAAAUGACGGUACCUGACUAAGAAGCCCCGGCUAACUACGUGCCAGCAGCCGCGGUAAUACGUAGGGGGCAAGCGUUAUCCGGAUUUACUGGGUGUAAAGGGAGCGUAGACGGCAGAGCAAGUCUGAAGUGAAAGCCCGCGGCCCAACUGCGGGACUGCUUUGGAAACUGCCCGGCUAGAGUGCUGGAGAGGUAAGCGGAAUUCCUAGUGUAGCGGUGAAAUGCGUAGAUAUUAGGAGGAACACCAGUGGCGAAGGCGGCUUACUGGACAGUAACUGACGUUGAGGCUCGAAAGCGUGGGGAGCAAACAGGAUUAGAUACCCUGGUAGUCCACGCCGUAAACG